CGGUUAUCAGAAGUUGCGUUACCUUGGGGUAACCAUAGCAACAGCGUUUUUGGGGUCGAUAUAUGGUCGAGCGUCGACAAAAGUACUACUCUCACUAUUACUUUCGUUAUAUAUUUACGUAUCACUAAUAUAUAAAAACGUUUUAUAUAUUAAUAUCACAUUAUUUUUGUAAGUGUUUUUAAGAUAAACUGGCAGUCAUCAAACUACAAUUUGGGUUGCGCUACAUGAACCUCAACCGAUUUUUUCUUUCAAAAUUCUAAAAGAAAUUCCUUUGGAACGUUGACCGCUUGAAAGUAACCGAAUAAUUCGCGCUUUGGAAAUUUCCGCUGAAAAAAAGUCAGAAAAACUUCCAACAAAUCACUUUCACUUUACAACCUUGGCCAAAAAGGUGCAUCACUUCCUGUGAAAGCCGGGAAAACAACUGUCCGCACUUGUCAUCUGACCCUGAAAACAAAUUAAAAGUGAAACGCUGCUGCCCACAAUGACCUGUUUUCUCUCAACAAUAGGCCUGUGAGCGAGUCUCAGGCUGCUCUUUUUGAAUGGGAUGAUGAUCCCUCUGUGUCUGACGUCCUGGGAGUUCCAGGAGCUGCGGAUGAAUUCCGCACGAAGGCGCUGAGGCUCCAGUCAGACUGACGCCGCGGCUCUCGCUCGAUCCAAGCACACGCGCUGUGCACCUCCAGUCGGCGCGAGAUUCAGCGUUCGGCUGUUUCGCGGGAUUACCCGACUACGCGGAUCGUUUUUCGACUCGUCACGUUAAGAUAAAAACGGCUGACUGCCUGACGAAAAAUCACUGUCAGGGGGUUUAUUCUAUACUCGCCUGUAUCUUGUCUGUAAAGAAAUAAACUGAGGCUCCUGGGUUGGAGUGAUUUAAAACAGAUCUGCCCCAAGCUUUGAGAAAAAUCUAGU
rnacentral:lncRNA from 1 species